CAGGGGGUAGUUUAAUGAGAAUUUCAGCUUUGGGAGCUGACGGUGAGAUUAGUARUGUGUUAUUGAUUUG
rnacentral:tRNA from 1 species